rnacentral:lncRNA from 1 species
AUGACGAACGCCUCGGGUGGCCCUGCCGCUGGCCCCGCCCCUGCGAGUGAUGGACGGGAGCGGCAGCCGAUCGAGGGCUUCGCUGCUGAGGCGGGCGCUGCGGCUGAGCCGGGCGGCACCCUAGAAGAUGGACAUUUGACAGGCCACAAUAGACUGCUCCUUUCCCAGAUUCUUCCACGAAUCAUCUGGAAUAAGAACAGAAACAGAUAUGGGGAGACAAAAGUCAGAGACAAGCUAAAUGGAUACUUACUCCAGACUACAAUCAGUCCUCAAGAAAAGCCAGUUAAUGAUACUUGAGACAAUGGGCCUGAUCUCCUGCUCUCCCAUAGCCACACUGAAAUGCUCCCACUCCAAUGGUUUCAUAACAACCCAGUUUCUGCAUCAGCCUGCCCUUCGUUCUUCAUGGGAAUGUAGUCUUUGGGCCUCACCACGAGAGACAACAUUAUGUCCAGAGCAGAGUAAAUGGAAAUAAUUCAGAAAACUAUAUUGAAGAUAUU